CACAUAUCCCUCUGCCCGAAAAAGCUUGUCCCUCAAAUGGAUGUAUCUAGCAUCUAGUUAGUGCUACAUACAUUCAUUUGAGGAACAAGUCUGGGACAAGAUUUUUCGGACAGAGGGAGUACUAG
rnacentral:pre_miRNA from 1 species